GAUGAACGCUGGCGGCGUGCCUAAUACAUGCAAGUCGAGCGAACAGACGAGGAGCUUGCUCCUCUGACGUUAGCGGCGGACGGGUGAGUAACACGUGGAUAACCUACCUAUAAGACUGGGAUAACUUCGGGAAACCGGAGCUAAUACCGGAUGAUAUAUUGAACCGCAUGGUUCAAUAGUGAAAGACGGUUUUGCUGUCACUUAUAGAUGGAUCCGCGCCGCAUUAGCUAGUUGGUAAGGUAACGGCUUACCAAGGCGACGAUGCGUAGCCGACCUGAGAGGGUGAUCGGCCACACUGGAACUGAGACACGGUCCAGACUCCUACGGGAGGCAGCAGUAGGGAAUCUUCCGCAAAGGGCGAAAGCCUGACGGAGCAACGCCGCGUGAGUGAUGAAGGUCUUCGGAUCGUAAAACUCUGUUAUUAGGGAAGAACAAAUGUGUAAGUAACUAUGCACGUCUUGACGGUACCUAAUCAGAAAGCCACGGCUAACUACGUG
rnacentral:rRNA from 1 species